CGUUCUGGGGCCACAGCAGCACAUAACCAGCAAUCCUCCCCUCACCCAGUCAGGUUCUUCUCACAGUGCUGAGCCCUGAAGUUGAAGAGGAAGAAGACAUUUUCCUUCUAGUGGGAGAACUCAAACAUGUUGCUCUCCAACCUUCUCAAGGUGGUCAUGGCUUCCGUGUGGCUAGGACCCAGUAUUGCCCAGAAGGUCACUCAAGCCCAACCAGCAGUGUUAGUGCAGGAGAAGGGGACUGUCACUCUGGAAUGCACAUAUAACACCAAUGAACCACGUUAUAGUCUCUUGUGGUACAAGCAACGCAGCAGUGGGGCAAUGGUUUUCCUUAUUCGUCAGGAUUCUUACAACCUGCAAAAUGCCACUGAAGAUCGCUACUCACUGAAUUUUCAGAAGACAAGAAAUUUCAUCCAACUUGUCAUCUCAGCUUCACAGCUGGAGGACUCUGCAGUGUAUUUCUGUGCACUGUGGGAGCCCACAGUGAGAGGCAUGAUGGAAGGAGGUAUACCCAAACCCCAGGGCUCUUGUUGAUGCUUCUUCCUGCAGUAGGGCCCAAGUGGGGCAAUUGCCAUCCCAGACAGGAAGUGGCACAGGUGCAGGUUUA